UUCCAUUUACUAAUUCAACUAUUACAAUCACCCCAAUAUUUUGUUCACCUACCAAUAAUUCAUUCCAUGUAGGUGACUCUAAAAAAAAAAAGUCAUAUUUAUAAUACCCUUUACGACUCUGAUACCCAAUAUUCUAUUCUAUUUAGGUGACUCAAUACAAAGAAAGUGGGAAUGUUUUCUUAGGUUAACCGAAGAAAACCCUAAAUAACUUAAGUGCUUUUGGAUUAAUUGAGUAUCAUCUUGUAGUACAUGUCAAUCUCUAUUGUUAGACUUCACCAAAAAGCUCCUAGCACGGUGGAAAAAAGUAUCAAAUAUAGUCAAGUCUUCAAUAAAAUACUAUUUCAUGCGAAAAAUUACUACAAACUAGUGUAUCUCUCAUUCUCAAUUAGACAAAAUUUUUAAAAAUAAUUCAUUUUUCUUGUUUUCAUUUGUUUUGGGGCUUAUUAGCAAUGAAACAAAAAAUAUGUUAGAAUGUUAAACCUAGUUUUUACUUCCUUAGAACUCGAUAAAAAACACCAUUUACAAAACCCACAUCAUAGAUAUACUAAAUCAAGAGAUAUAAAACAAUUAUACUAACAAAGUUUUUUGCAUUAAUAAAAAAAAUGAAGAUGAUAGAUAAGAGAUUUUGACUUACCCGAGAUUUUACGAAGCAAAGAAUAUCAAUUAUGGGUGUGCCGACCAUGGGUGUGAGAAGAAAGGAGAAGAAAACGAUGGUUAGGGUUAAGCAACAAGAUCUUUUAUAUUAGUUAAUGUAUAUAUGGAAACAAUGGACUUUUCAUA
rnacentral:lncRNA from 1 species